UACGAAGGGGGCUAGCGUUGCUCAGAAUCACUGGGCGUAAAGGGUGCGUAGGCGGGUCUUUAAGUCAAGGGUGAAAUCCUGGAGCUCAACUCCAGAACUGCCUUUGAUACUGAAGAUCUUGAGUUCGGGAGAGGUGAGUGGAACUGCGAGUGUAGAGGUGAAAUUCGUAGAUAUUCGCAAGAACACCAGUGGCGAAGGCGGCUCACUGGCCCGAUACUGACGCUGAGGCACGAAAGCGUGGGGAGCAAACAGG
rnacentral:rRNA from 1 species